rnacentral:telomerase_RNA from 1 species
CAACGGGGUGGGACCUAGGGGAUGAGCUUGCUUAUGAACCACUAAACCCUGAACCCUCCCAUAAUUACGAUGGGGACAUAUUGUUGGGGGUCUUUGGCCGGCGUUUCCCCCGAAAAAAAGUAAAAAAACGUCGAUGUUAUAUAAGAGACUCAUCUCCCAAAAGUAGACCAACGGGUUGGGUUUGGCUCGUAGGUGGUUCUGUUGAAGCUAGAUUAGUGUCUGCAGUUAACCGUUUCCUCGCCUUACCCUCCCACCCCCAAAUUUU